ensembl:lncRNA
UAUGGGGCAGCUAUGGGGCAGGGUUAUAGGGCAGCUAUGGGGCAGAUGUGGGGUAUCUAUGGGGUAUCUAUGGGGCAGAUAUGGGGCAGCUAUGGGGCAGCUAUGGGGUGUCUAUGGGUCACUAUGGGUCUCUAUGGGCCUCUAUAGGGCAGCUAUGGGUCUCUAUAGGGUCUCUAUAAGGCAGCUAUGGGUCACUAUAGGGCUCUAUGGGUCUCUAUGGGGCAACUAUGGGUCACUAUAGGGCUCUAUGGGUCUCUAUGGGGCAGCUAUGGGUCACUAUAGGGCUCUAUGGGCCUCUAUGGGGCAGCUAUGGGUCUCUAUGGGUCACUAUGGGUCUCUAUGGGGCAACUAUGGGUCACUAUAGGGCUCUAUGGGUCUCUAUGGGGCAGCUAUGGGUCACUAUAGGGCUCUAUGGGUCUCUAUGGGGCAGCUAUGGGGUAUCUAUGGGGCAGCUAUGGGGUAUCUAUGGGGUGUCUAUGGGGCUCUAUGGGGUGUCUAUGGGUCUCUAUGGGGCUCUAUGGGUGUCUAUGGGGUGUCUAUGGGGCUCUAUGGGGUGUCUAUGGGGCUCUAUGGAGUCUCUAUAGGGUCUAUGGGGUGUCUAUGGGGAUCUAUGGGUGUCUAUGGGGUUCUAUGGGGCUCUAUGGGGUCUCUAUGGGGCUCUAUGGGGUGUCUAUGGGGCUCUAUGGGUGUCUAUGGGGCUCUAUGGGGUGUCUAUGGGGCUCUAUGGGUGUCUAUGGGGGCUCUAUGGGGUGUCUAUGGGGUUUAUGGGACUCUAGUAGGGCUUCGGUAGGGCUCGUAUGGGGUACUAUGGGAUUCUUUGGGGCCUCUAUGGGCUCUAUGGAGUUCUAUGGGGCAUAUGGGGCUCUAUGGGGUGUCUAUGGGGUUCUAUGGGACUCUAUAGGGCUCGGUAGGGCUCUAUGGGGUAUCUAUGGGAUUCUUUGGGGCUCUAUGGGGUCUCUAUGGGGCUCUAUGGAGUUCUCCGGGGCUCUUAAUGGGGCAUAUGGGUCUCUAUGGGGGUGUCUAGGGGUUUCUAUGGGACUCUAUACGGGCUCGGUAAGGGAUCUAUGGGGUAAUCUAUGGUGAUUCUUUGGGGCUCUUAUGGGGUCUCUUUGGCUCUAUGGGCCUCUAUGGGGUCUCUAGGGCUUUAUAGGUCUCUAUGGGGUUCUCGUAUGGGGUUGCUAUGGACGCUUUAUGUCGGGCUCUAUGUGGGCCGUCUAUGGGGUGUGUUCUGGGGUUCUAUGGGGGCUCAUGGGUGUCUAUGGGGGGCUCUAUGCGGGUGUCUAUGGGGCUCUAUGGGGUGUCUAUGGGGCUCUGUGGGUCACUAUAGGCUCUAUGGGCAAUAUGGGGUCUCUAUAGGGCUAUGGGGGCUCUAUGGGGUGUCUAUGGGCUCUAAUGGGAUCUCUCUGGGGCGCGGAAUGGACGGAUGUUCGUUGCAACAGAAGGGCGGCCGUCAACCAGUGCCUGCGCACCUUACAGUGGGUCAAUAAUUGAGGUUAUGGGGUUCUAUGGGGCUCUAUGGGACAAUAUGGGGUCUCUAUGCGGCUCUAUAGGGUCUCUAUGGGGGCAGGGGGGCAAUAUGGGGCUCUAUGGGACAAUAUGAGAUCUCUAUGAGGCUCUAUGGCAUCUCUAUGGGGGCAGGUAGGCAAUAUGGGGCUCUAUGGGACAAUAUAGGGUCUCUAUGGGGUUCUAUGGGGCUCUAUGGGGUAUCUAUGGGGCUCUAUGGGGCUCUAUGGGGUUCGAUGGGGCAGUAUGGGGUCCCUAUGAAGUCUCAAUGGGGUCUAUGGGGAUCUACGGGGUCUAUGGGGCUCUAUGGGGAUCUAUGGGUCUCUAUGGGGCUCUAUGGGGUCUCUAUGGGUGUCUAUGGGGCUCUAUGGGGUGUCUACGGGGCAAUAUGGGGCACUAUAGGGUGUCUAUGGGGCUCUAUGGGGCAAUAUGGGCCACUAUAGGGUGUCUAUGGGGCUCUAUGGGGUGUCUAUGGGUCUCUAUGGGGUAUCUAUGGGUCUCUAUGGGGCUCUAUGGGGUUCUAUGGGGUGUCUAUGGGGUUCUAUGGGGCUCUAUGGGUGUCUAUGGGGCUCUAUGGGGU